rnacentral:misc_RNA from 1 species
GUUCCAGUCUUCAAAUAAAACUGACAAGGUGGUUCCCCUACACGUUCUGGGUACUCCCCGGUAGCUCUUACAGCUGCCUCAACCGCAGCGCGAUUGCGAGGGUGAUUAUAGCGGCACCUACCACCAUAUCCACAAAACCCUGUUCGCAUAUAAUACACACAGUCGGGCGCGCCGGGCCGCUCCGGAUAUAAUUCACUGCUGGCUAGCCCCAAUCGCCACAUCGAUUCUUCUAACCCGGUUUCGCCUCUCACGGGGCUCCAUUCGGGUUGUUGACCCGAUUGCGACCCAUUCCUUGCGUGGUUCCGGCCGUAGAGCUCCAUCGAAACGGGGUUUCUUUUGAGGGAGAGGAUUCUGUACACUUUACAGGAAACAAAGAAGGAAACGUUUCUACGGAAACUGUUACAGAAUGUUCUAGAAGGAUCAGAAGAGCUGGAUCGAGUGAAGACAAUACACUAGUCUAAGCGAUGAAGCGAUUUGAUUUUGUAGAUGUUUCAAACAGUAAUGGAGAGCCUGUGCUUUCUCUCUCCAACCCCUUCUCUUUCUCUCUCUCUCUCUCUCAAG